ACCAGGCCCCCUCCAAACACUGUGCUCCAGAGGAUCUGAAAGAUUCCUCCCAGGAUGGUGAAGAGCAACUGGAAUAGCCCCACGAACAGCAUCCAGAAAAAGGAGAAGAGCACCUUCACCAGCUCCUUCGCAGUCAUCUUUUUCACGUUCCUGUACUGCUUCCUGAGGUUCUUCAGGGUUGCUCUCUUCAGGAAGUCGGUGACAUUCCUCUUCACAGAGGCACAGGCCAUAGCAAAUGCAGAGGCCGGCUCAAGAGACCCGUCUUCUUCCUCUUCACCCGCAAUUUCUAACACGUAAGAAGAAUCUUCAUCUUCUUCCUCCUCUUCUGGCCUGUCAGCUGAAUCGGAUUCAGAGAUCUGAGAUGCUAACUGCAUUUCAAAGAUGGUGUCCUCACAGAAGUUCACAAACAGCUCCAUCUUUUCCUGCUCCCCACCUUCAUUGACAACAUCAAAAAUGAACUGUCGCUUAGAUUCCUUCACCUGGGGCUUCUCCCACUGAGUGCGACUGGAUUCACUGAUCUCAAAAUAAACACGCUCAAUCUUCUUGGCCCCACCCAUGAUCUCGAUGCGUCCUAGGUAGGGUUCGAAGUAAUUUAGCACACUUUCUGCUGGGUCCAACAGACACUUCAGGCGGGAAUCGUUUGGCAUGUGUUCAGAAAGAUUUGUCAAUAACACAGCCACAUUAAACCCUAUGUCCUUGGCUGGCUCAUGGAACCGGUCUACAAAAUCAACGUAAUUAAACAUGUCAUUCUCAUCAGCUUCUGCACACGACAGGAGAAAGUCAAUCUCUGACUGCGUGUACUGUUUUUGCCCUUCCAUGGCCUUCUGGAAUUCUUUUUUGGAGAUAAUUCCUUUACCAUCUGGGUCAUAUUCUUUGAAGGUGUCUGAGCUGGUUAAGUCUUUAAGUUUCAAGAACAUGUCAAAGAAUUUCAAGAUCAUUUCUACAUUGGUAGAUGAUUCUACCAGUGUGUCAACCAUCUGCUUGCCAAUGGUGCCAUUUACCACAUUCCCUGUGAGGCAGGUUCAAAAAGACAUACAAAUAUACAAAUAAACCCAAGCUAUCAUGUCACUUGUCAGGUAGCUAUUUUUAGAAGACUUUUGUGCCAAAUUAGUCAGCUCUUCUCUGACCGUGAUGAUGUAGGAGGGAGCAGCAAGCCAUAAAGACUACACCACUAGGAGCCAAGGGGGAAAGAAACAAAGGGAAGAAGGAGGUGGCCACACCACUGCCUUUAACAUGGCCUGGGGCCUGGGAAGUGGUUUCAUUAUUAGAUUAUCAGGGACACAUAGGGAUACAUGGUGUCCCUUUGAUCCCCUUAGACCUAGGAGGGUGCCCAACUAGAUGGCUGGCAUACACACUGGCAGCCAGAUGUGUUGAAAAGCAAUGGGGAGAGGGAGAGGAUAGGGAAGAGCAAAGCUUGGAGGUUUUCCCCAGUUCAUUCUGGCUUUCCUAUUGAUAGAAAAUCAAUUGAUUUCAGGCUUCGUCCGUCAGACCAGGUGCCCCUCAUUUUAUUUUUCGUUUCUGAAAAUUUGGCUUUCUGACCAAUGUCAUAUGGCAUCAGUGACCUGCCAGAAGGAUAAUCUGCAUGAUCAGUAAGGUUAGUGCUCAGACCAAUUACAGUUGUGUGAAGGCCUAGUUAUACCAAACAGCCCAACCUUCCAGGAGGGACAGAAGCAUCACCACCAUGUCCUGAAGGAGAUCCAAGAGUUCCUUCAGCAGCUCGAUCUGACUGGAAUCCUAGAACAGAAACAGGAGAUACCCCUGAGCUAUCUGAUCCCUCAGUAAAGUACAGGGCAGUGAGCGAGAAGAGCCUGCUCUGGAAAGGUUAGGUGCAGGCUGCAUCAGUGUCGGGAAAGAGCUUCCUUCUCAUUCUGAAUGAGGAUGCCUUAUCGUCCACUGUUUGCAGCACCGGGAGACUCACUGUAGCAGGACUCAUCCAACAAAGCUCCUUUAAAUGGAAUAAAAUGGAGGCUAUUCCUCUGGAUGGUUUUGAUACCAGUCUGUUUGGUUUUAAUUUCAGCAAUGCAGGAAGAGCAUCGCUAAGCUACCUCCGUGCCUUAUACCCUAUGUCACAGUAGGAAACAAUUCUUGGAAGAUCUGAGGUGGGCAAUCUG
rnacentral:lncRNA from 1 species